GAUCACUGAAUCGUUACAUGUUGCACAAUAGAAACAGUUUGCAACACAACACCAACCAAACCUCUCUCUGUCCUGUCUCUACCAGGUCUAGGAAAGGCCUCAUGUUGUCUGUCUCCUCCCCCACAGUCCUGUCUCUACCAGGUCUAGGAAAGGCCUCAUGUUGUCUGUCUCCUCCCCCACAGUCCUGUCUCUACCAGGUCUAGGAAAGGCCUCAUGUUGUCUGUCUCCUCCCCCACAGUCCUGUCUCUACCAGGUCUAGGAAAGGCCUCAUGUUGUCUGUCUCCUCCCCCACAGUCCUGUCUCUACCAGGUCUAGGAAAGGCCCCAUGUUGUCUGUCUCCUCCCCCACAGUCCUGUCUCUACCAGGCCUAGGAAAGGCCUCAUGUUGUCUGUCUCCUCCCCCACAGUCCUGUCUCUACCAGGUCUAGGAAAGGCCUCAUGUUGUCUGUCUCCUCCCCCACAGUCCUGUCUCUACCAGGUCUAGGAUAGGCCUCAUGUUGUCUGUCUCCUCCCCCACAGUCCUGUCUCUACCAGGUCUAGGAAAGGCCUCAUGUUGUCUGUCUCCUCCCCCACAGUCCUGUCUCUACCAGGUCUAGGAAAGGCCUCAUGUUGUCUGUCUCCUCCCCCACAGUCCUGUCUCUACCAGGUCUAGGAAAGGCCCCAUGUUGUCUGUCUCCUCCCCCACAGUCCUGUCUCUACCAGGUCUAGGAAAGGCCUCAUGUUGUCUGUCUCCUCCCCCACAGUCCUGUCUCUACCAGGUCUAGGAAAGGCCUCAUGUUGUCUGUCUCCUCCCCCACAGUCCUGUCUCUACCAGGCCUAGGAAAGGCCUCAUGUUGUCUGUCUCCUCCCCCACAGUCCUGUCUCUACCAGGCCUAGGAUAGGCCUCAUGUUGUCUGUCUCCUCCCCCACAGUCCUGUCUCUACCGGGCCUAGCAUAGGCCCCAUGUUGUCUGUCUCCUCCCCCACAGUCCUGUCUCUACCAGGCCUAGGAAAGGCCCCAUGUUACCCAUUUUAAGCCCAAAAGCAAAUUCGGACCAAAGUCCUCUAUUAAUAACUAUUAUAGGUUAGUCUGUGUAUAGGAGAAAAAAAAAACAUAUUCAGGGGUAGCCUAGUGGUUAGAGUGUUGUACUAGUAAUCGCAAGGUUGUAAGUUCAAACCCCUGAGUUGACAAGGUACAAAUCUGUCGUUCUGCCCCUGAACAGGCAGUUUACCCACUGUUCCUAGGCUGUCAUUAAAAAUAAGAAUUUGUUCUAAACUGACUUGCCUAGUUAAAUAAAGAUAAAAUAAAAACCUCACCAAAACAGACACUCAAUGAACUAAUGAAAGAUCCAUCUUUGGUUAUUAAACCUGCAGAUAAAGGGGGUUCCUUGGUUGUUUUAGACUAUGGCAAAUACAAAGAAGAUAUUCAGAGACCCAGAACGUUUCUAUAGAAAACUGAGUGUUGAUCCCACAUCUGUAUCUAAUCUGGAACAAGCCCUAUUAAACAACCUCUAAACCUGAAUAUAAAUACCGGUGCUGUAAAUGUGCCAUAUGUCCUUGUACAUUUAGCCCGGAAUUACACAAACCUAAAACACAACAAGGGAAAUAUCCAGGCAGACCAGUGGUUGCAGGAAUAGGCUAGAGCAAGUUGUCAACAUUCUUGUAGAAUCUUUUACUAAAUCUCAUGUGCAAGCAUUGCCAUCAUAUGUGAAAGACUCUAUAGACUUCAAUAAACAAGAUCUCACCAAUAACGGGUUUAAUUUACAGAAGACUGUAAUUUGGUCACGUUAGAUGUCGAGGGUCAAUAUACCAGCAUUCCCCAUACGGGGUAGCUGGUAGCCCUAGUUCACUACCCACCAAUACAUUUUUUUCGAGAGCUGGCUGAAUACGUUUUGACAUACAACUAUUUUAGGUUUGAUGAUGAACAUUACCUCCAAACGAAUGGAACAUCGAUGGGCUCCACAUUCGCUCCAAGCUAUGCUAACCUUUAUGUGGGUCAUUUUGAAAAACAUUUUGUUACUAACAAUGAAACCCGAAAAUAAAUGGUUGAUUAAAA